GUCCUCGGAGGAGUGAGGGAGUGCGCGCGUCUCUUGUGACUGGACCAAGUGUAAUGUGGAAAUGAUACGCUCGUAGGGCGAAAAUGUGAUGCUCUGAUGUGCAUCUGGUGUUCAUCUCGUAGUUCAUGCCAUUGCCAAGCGACUAACCCCGUGUUAACUUAGUGUGUUCUCAUAUUUAGUGCAGGCCAAAUAAGAAAUCGCCAAGAUGGCCGACCUGGAGGCAGUGCUGGCUGAUGUUAGCUAUUUGAUGGCGAUGGAGAAGAGUAAAUCUACUCCAGCAGCGAGAGCCAGCAAGAAGAUCAUCUUACCAGACCCAAGGUAUGUGGUCCCCCCACCCCAGCCCACCCCGAGAGGCGACGUCGGCUCAUCUCCUUUAAGUAUAAGAAGCACGGUCGUUCUCACAACUUCGUGAGAUGACCAGGCGUAGAGGCGCAUUUUCUCUCUCCAUAGUCGUCUGCAUGAACAGCCUCAUACACUGUCAUGGACAUCUUCAUGUGGGAAUUCGUCCGUUUUGCUUUUUUUUUUCCCUGUUCUCGCUGGUCACUCUGGCUGGUGCCUGAAGCGCCUCUCGAACAGCAAGGAUUUUGUGAAGGAGGGAAGGGGAAGGCAAGGGAGGGGAUGUGGGAGAGACGAAGAAGAAGAAGAAGAAGAAGAAGAAGAAGAAGAAGAAGAAGAAGAGGAAGAGGAAGAGGAAGAGGAAGUGGAGGAAGCAGAGGAAGCAGAAGCAGGAGGAGAGCGCCAAAGCAGGGCAAUGGAAAAGUGAGUUCCAAAAGGCACUCGCUCCGGGGAAAAGUUCAUCGAACUUUUGUGUCGCUGGACUUUAUGACUUUAGCCCCUUCCAUUUUUAUGAAAGAGGAAAAACUCGUGAUAUGGGAGGUCUUCUUGGAAAAGGGUCGCAUUCUCUCCCCCUCCACGGUCCCCUCCACCAACUCCCUACCCCUUCU
rnacentral:misc_RNA from 1 species